rnacentral:rRNA from 1 species
CCUACGGGUGGCAGCAGUGAGGAAUAUUGGUCAAUGGCCGGAAGGCUGAACCAGCCAUGCCGCGUGAAGGUCAGUGCCCUAUGGGCGUUAAACUUCUUUUGUGCGGGAGCAAUAAUGGUCACGUGUGGCCAGACGAGAGUACCGUACGAAUAAGCAUCGGCUAACUCCGUGCCAGCAGCCGCGGUAAUACGGGGGAUGCAAGCGUUAUCCGGAUUUAUUGGGUUUAAAGGGUGCGUAGGCUGUGAGGUAAGUCAGCGGUGAAAUGCCCCCGCUCAACGGGGUGAAGUGCCAUUGAUACUGCCUGGCUGGAAUGCGGAUGCCGGGGGAGGAAUGUGUGGUGUAGCGGUGAAAUGCAUAGAUAUCACACAGAACACCGAGUGCGAAGGCAUCUCACGAAUCCGCGAUUGACGCUGAUGCACGAAAGCGUGGGUAUCAAACAGGAUUAGAUACCCGAGUAGUC